CACGCAGGCGGUUUUUUUAAGUCAGAUGUGAAAGGUACCGGCUCAACCGGUGACAUGCAUUUGAAACUGAAAGACUUGAGUAUCGGAGAGGCAAGUGGAAUUCCUAGUGUAGCGGUGAAAUGCGUAGAUAUUAGGAGGAACACCGGUGGCGAAGGCGGCUUGCUGGACAAAUACUGACGCUGAGGUGCGAAAGCGUGGGGAGCAAACA
rnacentral:rRNA from 1 species